GGGCCUGUACCCCAGUGGCUAGAGGGAACCGUUUUAGGGGCGGUGUGUCGCGGGUUCGAAUCCCGCCAGGCCUA
rnacentral:tRNA from 3 species